AUGGCGCCGAUGCCGACGCCGGCGCCGCCGGGCACGGAGGCCGCGGAGUCGAGGUGCGCGGCGGAGAGGGAGGAGAGGACGAGGAAGCGGUCGGCGCGGGAGCGCGGGAAGGACGGCGGCGCGUGCGGCUGCGGGCGGAGCACGACGCGGAUGGUGGCCGUGGAGAGCGGCUGCAGGGCGCCGCGCGGCGGGCUGACGAGGAACUUGAGCGGGGAGGAGGUCUGCACCUUGAAGGCGACGGGGAGCGUCGGGUGCAGCGAGCGGAGGCGGAGGUCGACGCGGCACUUGGCGUUGGGCUUGAAGUCGACGACCACCUCCUCCUCCGCCACCUCCAGCAGCUGCUGCUCGGGUUCUGGCGCCGCCGCCGGUUUGGCUGCGUCGGCGGAAUUGGCGGGAGCGGAGCAGGCUGGCUUAGCAGCGGCCAUCGGUCUCCGUUGGGAGGUGCUUCUACGAGCGCGGGGUGGAACUGGAAGCAAGGAGUGGUGUCUGGCUAAUGGCUGUACGCCUGUACCUAGGAUGACGCUUUGCUCUUUUGCUGGCACGCUGGAUCGGGCAAUCAGAGGAUGUUGA
rnacentral:rRNA from 1 species